UACGGGGGGGGGCAAGCGUUGUCCGGAAUUAUUGGGCGUAAAGCGCGCGCAGGCGGCCUCUUAAGUCUGAUGUGAAAGCCCCCGGCUCAACCGGGGAGGGCCAUUGGAAACUGGGGGACUUGAGUGCAGAAGAGGAAAGCGGAAUUCCACGUGUAGCGGUGAAAUGCGUAGAGAUGUGGAGGAACACCAGUGGCGAAGGCGGCUUUCUGGUCUGUAACUGACGCUGAGGCGCGAAAGCGUGGGGAGCAAACAGG
rnacentral:rRNA from 1 species